AUUGAACGCUGGCGGCAGGCCUAACACAUGCAAGUCGAACGAGUGGCGGACGGGUGAGUAAUACAUCGGAAUCUACUCUGUCGUGGGGGAUAACGAAGGGAAACUUAUGCUAAUACCGCAUACGAUUGAAUGAGCCGAUGUUGGCUUAGCUAGUUGGCGGGGUAAAGUCCCACCAAGGCGACGAUCCGUAGCGGGUCUGAGAGGAUGAUCAGCCACACUGGAGCUGAGACACGUUCCAGACUCCUACGGGAGGCAGCAGUGGGGAAUAUUGGACAAUGGGCGCAAGCCUGAUCCAGCCAUACCGCGUGGGUGAAGAAGGCCUUCGGGUUGUAAAGCCCUUUUGUUGGGAAAGCGGUACCCAAAGAAUAAGCACCGGCUAACUUCGUGCCAGCAGCCGCGGUAAUUC
rnacentral:rRNA from 1 species